GGCUUUUUUCUUUUCGGUAUGCCGCUCCGCUAACUAAGGAGCGAUAGAAGGAAGUGGGCUGUGGUGAUGUUAGAAUUUGCUCCUAUUUUAGUGUCUUUAGUUUUUUAGUGUCUUUAGUUAUUAGUUUCCUAGUUUCUUUGAUCCUGUUAGGCGUUAUUUUCAUUUUAUCUUCCAAUAGUUCGAUCUAUCCAGAAAAAUUGUUGCCCCGGUG
rnacentral:misc_RNA from 1 species